ensembl:snoRNA Gm24348 small nucleolar RNA SNORA17
ACAUCCUAAUGAACUUACAUAUGUGCUAAUUGAAACAUUUAUGAAACAGUAGGUGGCAGAGAAGAGAGAGGUUAUGUCCAUGCUCAGGGCUCUAACCUGCAAUCAUCUGAAUGACUAGUAGCCUAACACU